rnacentral:rRNA from 1 species
UACGUAGGGUGCGAGCGUUGUCCGGAAUUAUUGGGCGUAAAGAGCUCGUAGGCGGUGUGUCACGUCGGCCGUGAAACCUGGGGCUUAACUCUGGGCGUGCGGUCGAUACGGGCAUCACUAGAGUUCGGCAGGGGAGACUGGAAUUCCUGGUGUAGCGGUGGAAUGCGCAGAUAUCAGGAGGAACACCGAUGGCGAAGGCAGCUCGCUGGGACGUGACUGACGCUGAGACGCGAAAGCGUGGGGAGCAAACAGG